rnacentral:lncRNA from 1 species
ACAAGAGGAUAAUACUACUUCUGAUUCUGUUGGAGACGAUGAGUUUGAACAAGGCUCGUCGAUUGUCAGCAGAGAAGAAGAAGAUUGUGGGAGUGAACCUGAAGCAAAGAGAUGGUACAGAUCAUCAUCACCCUCUAAAAAUCGCCUACGAUCUUUUAACAAUCUUGAAUAAGAAAGUUCUGAAAAUGUUUGUUUUUUGUGUUUUCAGGAAAGGAGAAAAUGAAACAAAUGGUGGAAAUGGUGGCGGAAGCAAGACAGUGAGAGAGCCAAGAAUUGUAGUGCAGACAACUAGUGAUAUCGACAUUCUUGACGACGGUUACAGAUGGAGAAAAUAUGGCCAGAAAGUCGUUAAGGGAAACCCAAAUCCAAGGUAAUAACAUCAACAAUUGUGCUUCUCAAUAGAUUAUAAUUAAGGUUCUUAAGAAUCUGACCUUUUGUUUUCUUUUCACUUGCUGAAUUUAACAGAAGCUACUACAAGUGCACAACCAUCGGUUGUCCAGUGAGGAAACAUGUUGAGAGAGCAUCACACGACAUGAGAGCAGUAAUCACAACCUAUGAAGGGAAACACAACCACGAUGUUCCUGCAGCUCGUGGUAGCGGUUACGCCACAAACAGAGCACCACAAGAUUCUUCUUCAGUCCCAAUUAGACCAGCUGCUAUUGCUGGUCACUCCAACUACACUACUUCUUCUCAAGCACCAUAUACACUUCAGAUGCUGCACAACAACAACACUAAUUCCGGGGCUUUUGGUUACGCUAUGAACAACAAUAACAACAACAGCAACCUUCAAACGCAACAAAACUUUGUUGGUGGUGGGUUUUCU